rnacentral:rRNA from 1 species
AACGAACGCUGGCGGCAUGCCUAACACAUGCGAGUCGAACGAGACCUUCGGGUCUAGUGGCGCACGGGUGCGUAACGCGUGGGAACCUGCCCUUAGGUUCGGAAUAACUCCCCGAAAGGGGUGCUAAUGCCGGAUAAUGUCUUCGGACCAAAGAUUUAUCGCCUUUGGAUGGGCCCGCGUUGGAUUAGCUAGUUGGUAGGGUAAAAGCCUACCAAGGCGACGAUCCAUAGCUGGUCUGAGAGGAUGAUCAGCCACACUGGGACUGAGACACGGCCCAGACUCCUACGGGAGGCAGCAGUGGGGAAUAUUGGACAAUGGGCGAAAGCCUGAUCCAGCAAUGCCGCGUGAGUGAUGAAGGCCUUAGGGUUGUAAAGCUCUUUUACCCGGGAUGAUAAUGACAGUACCGGGAGAAUAAGCUCCGGCUAACUCCGUG